UGUUUGGAGAAAAUAUACAGUCUGACCUGCCCACUGAGUUGUUAAAGGGCCGCGGUAUCUGAACCGUGCUAAGGUAGCAUAAUAAAUAGUCUUUUAAUUGGGGUCUAGUAUGAAUGGUCGGACAGGAGGCAAGCUGUCUUGGUUAUAAAGUUUGAAUUUUACUUUUAAGUGAAAAGGCUUAGAUUAGAUGGUGGGACGAUAAGACCCUGUGAAGCUUUAACAUGUGGGUCGUAAGUUGAAGAAAUUAGGGUGUUCUGUUCUUAUCGGCUAGGGUGUUUCGUUGGGGCGACGGAAAUAUAAAUAGUAACUGUUUUUUUGGAAAUAGAUCUUUUUAGGUGACUUGAUCCUUUGUUAGGAUUAUAAGAAUAAAGUUACUUCAGGGAUAACAGCGUAAUUUUUCUUGAGAGUUCAUAUCGACAGAAGUAGUUGCGACCUCGAUGUUGAAUUAAGGUGUCCUUAAGGUGUAGCAGCUUUGGGGGUGGGUCUGUUCGACCUUUAAAGCCUU
rnacentral:rRNA from 1 species